rnacentral:lncRNA from 1 species
AAACACUUCUGUAUGACUCGGAACAAGUUUAUUUGCAAUCAGACAUGGCAUGCAAUCAUGCAGGACCACCGCUACAGCCGAACAGCCGAGGCUAAGAGACAUGGGGACAAAGAAGCCCUACGCAUUCGGGAUAUUUCCAGACCUGAGCUCCACACUGAGCCGCGGUCUUCUAAAGAGAGAUUCCCACAGAUUUAAAAAAAAAAAAAAAAGAAACCAUACACACUUUUAUCAUAUUUACAAAAAAAUAUUUAAUUAAAAAUAUUUUAUAAUUACAGUAGUCUAUUAAAGCAUAUACUUUUCUCACACUUAUAGAACAUCUCUCUAUGUACACGGUAUGAAAUGUCACUCGUUUCUCUGUACAGUAUGCAACAUUCCUGCAGGGAGAAGAAAGUUCCCGGGCCCCAUAAGCCAUCUAUUUUAAACAAUAGACGAGGUCUAUCUAUACGCGCUCCGGAGGUCGGCAGCGCUGCGCGGUGGAGCCGUGCUCGUCCCUCCGUCGCACUCGGUCCCGGGGCAGAGCCGCCGCUCCUCCUGUUCGGUCCGACCCCACCGCCACCACCGCGGGGAGAGAAGAGCAGCGGGGCCGGGGCGGCGCGCACGGGGAGACGGGGCCGGCCGGAGCCUGGGAGCGGCUCAGGCCGGGCAUCGCCCCGCCCGCCCCCCGCCGCGCACCUGGGUAGCGGCGCUCAGCGGCAGAGGAUGCUGUCCCCCGGCUUGUUAACAGAGCCAGCCGGGUCGGUGUUGAGGGCCGUCAGCGGGGUGCGCGGGGUGCCCGCGGGACAACCGCCCGGGUGCAGGGUUGGCGGCGGCUGCCGGAGCAGCGCCGGGUGCGUCUCCAGAGCCAGCUGCAGGUCGAGGAUGUAGUCGAUGACGUGCUGCAGGAUCUCCACUUUGCUGACCCGCUUGUUGGGCGGGAUGGUGGGCACCAGCCUCCUCAGCCGGCUGUAACAGUCAUUCAUAUCGCACUGCAGACACAGGGCCGCCGGCUCCUCGCCCCCUUUGCAGCCGCUGUGCUCGGCCAGGCACCGCAGCGCCGGAUGCCCGCCGCCGCCGCCCGCCCCGGCGGGCUGCGCCCUGCGCCCGGGGUGCCGGACGGGGCUCACGGCUUUCAUGGUGCCGCGGGCACGGAGAGAGACCGGGACCUCCCCCGCCACCUCCUCCCGCGACCUCGGGCACGCGCCGCCCGCCCGCCGCCACGCAACGCGAGCGGGGCACGGCCGCGGCCUCUCGCUGCUCACUGACGGGGUCCUCCCCACGGGGAUGCGGCGAGGACAAGCGCUACGGCAAGCCCGUCCCGCCCGACCGCUCAGCCACCGCC